UGUUAGGUUGGGAGUUGAUUAGCUUAAUUAACUUAGGGAUAGGAAUAACAAACCUAGGUAUUCACCUCUCGCCCCCGAUCCCUCAAGAUUUUCCCGAAGACGCCGACACCUCCUCGCUGGUCAUCUCCGCACGGUGCUUUCCACGGUGCCCUAAGCUUCAACCAAGCGCCACUACACGCAGACGGGCUUCUGGAAAUGGUGCGACCUGACGCGGGGCUUGCAACGGUCUCUCCGACGGCGCAAAAGCCUCGGCGAGAGCUUCAAGCGGUGGUACGAGGAAGAGGAAGGCAAGUUCACAUCCUUGUGAUUUCUUGAAAUCCAUGAGGGAGGAUGUCUACUAGGAGUAUGCGGACAGAGUAGGCGAGAUGGACGCAUGACACUGUCCAGACGUAUAGGAGUGCAAAGCAUACUCGUUCCGUUGCGAGAGGUUCUUCAUUUAUAUAGGGAGAGAUUUGAGAAUUCAUUGUUACUUUUGUUAAACCCCUAUUGGGAUGUUGUUAUUUACAUUGGAUAAGAUAAAUCAUUAUGAUGGUAUUGCACUACGGUUA